CUCCUCCUCUUCUUCAUUGUCCUCAAAUGGAACAAUGUCUGGGUUCUCUCCUCCAUUGUCUGGAUUAACUCCCUUUGCUUUUUCCUCUUCUCGUUUUGCUUCUGCUGCAACUGAGAUUGCCAUGAGUUCACUAUCAGGCUCAAGAUAAAGUAAGGAAGCUAACUGCUCACCAAUUGAGGGCUCUAGCUCCUGGCAAUCUCUACUGAUCUUCACUGGUAAGUUCUCAUUGUAUGGGUUCCUCAAAUGGCGCGUUUUGUGGAAUGAUAAUUCGCAUAACUUCAACCAUUUGACUGAAAAAUUUCGUCCAUAGUGUGCAGUUCCAUGCGCAUACUUCCAAUUCCCCCCAACAGCAGAAGCACCAAUUUUGGAUGUCAUCUUUGCACAUCCCUGGAAAUGUCGAGUCCGAUUGACCGAGAAAAUCAAAAUCACAUUUUCAGCAGAGUCAAAAGCUUCAUUCAAUUUAGCUUCAUUGCUCCUUUGAGUUGCCCAAACUCCUUGUUGUACAGAUAAUUCCAAAUUUUCACGGUUGCAACUUUUAACAAU
rnacentral:misc_RNA from 1 species